rnacentral:lncRNA from 1 species
UUAUUUUUUAGGAUGAUAAGCCUCAUUUUGUGGCUAGAAAAGUCGGGAACGAGAAGCAGCUGACACAACCUUUUAUUGAGGCUCUGGAGGAAAGAAUAAAACAAGAAAUGGAAAAGCUUAAAGAUGAACAGACCUGAUUGCUUCAUAAAUUUCAACCCAGAAAUUUUUACUAGAAGUGAAGGCAUCCAAUUUAUGCUGUGCUUUACCUUGAUUUAGCCAGUGUUUUGUGUUGCUUGUCGUAAAGUUAUUUUGGCCUGGUGCCAGAUGGACUAGGGACCAUUGUUACUUCUUCCAUGUUGUAUCAUCACUAUGAAUAGAACCAAGCACAUUAGACAUCUUCAUGAUAUUUAAGCACAUCUUAUUAUCUGCAUAACAAACUGGAGAAAUAAUGCUUUGUAUUAUCUUAGUGAUAUACUUACUGUUUCAUUGGAAAAGAAUGUUUGGAUUGGUACAAGUUUCAGUGUUGUUUGAAUUCAGUGUAAUGUUAGUAAAUAGACAUCAAAAGGGAAAUGGUAGAAAAUUAAAAAAUACAACCCACC